rnacentral:rRNA from 1 species
UUGGAGGGCAAGUCUGGUGCCAGCAGCCGCGGUAAUUCCAGCUCCAAUAGCGUAUAUUAAAGUUGUUGCAGUUAAAAAGCUCGUAGUUGAAUUUCGGGAUUGACGUGAUGGCCGUGCCUUAAGGGGUAUGAACUGUCGCAGUUGAUUUCUCACCUUCUGGGGAAGCACGAUGUCCUUAAUUGGGUGUCAUGUGGAACCAGGACCUUUACCUUGAAAAAAUUAGAGUGUUUAAAGCAGGCAUUUUGCUCGAAUACAUUAGCAUGGAAUAAUAGAAUAGGACGGCAUGGUUCUAUUUUGUUGGUUUCUAGGAUCACCGUAAUGAUUAAUAGGGAUAGUUGGGGGCAUUAGUAUUCAAUUGUCAGAGGUGAAAUUCUUGGAUUUAUUGAAGACUAACUACUGCGAAAGCAUUUGCCAAGGAUGUUUUCAUUAAUCAAGAACGAAAGUUAGGGGAUCGAAGACGAUCAGAUACCGUCGUAGUCUUAACCAUAAACUAUGCCGACUAGGAAUCAGACGAUGUUAAUUUUUUAAUGACUCGUUCGGCGCCUUACGGGAAAC